GACGUAGGGGGCCAGCGUUGCUCGGAAUUACUGGGCGUAAAGGGUUCGUAGGCGGUGCGGUAAGUCGGAAGUGAAAUCUCUGGGCUUAACUCAGAGGCUGCUUUCGAAACUGCCGUGCUAGAGUGCGGGAGAGGCCAGUGGAAUUGCAGGUGUAGCGGUGAAAUGCGUAGAUAUCUGCAGGAACACCCGUGGCGAAGGCGGCUGGCUGGACCGCAACUGACGCUGAGGCACGAAAGCGUGGGGAUCAAACAGG
rnacentral:rRNA from 1 species